UACGUAGGGGGCAAGCGUUGUCCGGAUUUAUUGGGCGUAAAGAGCGUGUAGGCGGCCAUGCAGGUCCGUUGUGAAAACUCGAGGCUCAACCUCGAGACGCCGGUGGAAACCGUGUGGCUAGAGUCCGGAAGAGGAGAGUGGAAUUCCUGGUGUAGCGGUGAAAUGCGCAGAUAUCAGGAGGAACACCGGUGGCGAAGGCGGGUCUCUGGGCCGAUGACUGACGCUGGAGGAGCGAAAGCGUGGGGAGCAAACAGG
rnacentral:rRNA from 1 species